UUUGAUUCAUUACCCCUUUUUUCAUUUUUUUACCCUAAUCUCUCACAUAAAAGGGGAGCUAAGGCAAAAAAGAGAUAGAUCAUAUACCCCUUCACAAAAGAGCCACGGCACAAGAACCCCUCCUUCCCUUUUCUUGCUUCUUCAUUCUAAUCUCUGAAUCCUCGCACUCCCUGAUUUCUCUCAAAAACCCACGCACACACCAUUCUCACUCAAAGAUCAUUCCCUCAUUUUUUAAUCGGCACACACAAAAGUGCUCACUAAUCUCACACACACAAUUAGGAAUAUAGACCAGUAGCUAAGAGUAGCUAAGAGAGUUGGAAAUAAUCUUUUUUUUAGAUCUAGAAAACAAGAACAAAAAAAAGGGGAAAGAGGAUUUUAAGUUUUCUCUGCCUCUGCUUUUCAGCUUCAUUUCUCUGGAUCUAAAAAGCUGGUUGACUGUUGAAAUUGUUGUUUUAUUGCUGAGAUUACCACCGAGCUCUUUGGAUUGAUUUUCGGUCUUCAUUUGGGCUCACUUUAACGCCAUUGCUUUGUUCGAUUUAGGUAAGUUUCGAGUCCUCAACGUAUUAUGUAUGUAUUGAGUGAUUAAAUUGUUAAAUCCUUAUGUGAUUUUGCAAGUUUACUCGAUUUUUGCUACUCUGAAUCUAAUGUCCGGUGGUUGCGCAGUGUGUUUUAAUUUAGAAAAAUACUUGAAAUAGUGAAAUAGAUAAAAAAUGACACCUACAUAGGUUAAUUUCAAUUCCCGAUUUUGAUGAGAAUACUGUUCUGGAUUGCUUGACUGUUUUAAGUUUAAUUUUUUUUAUUUUUUUUUAGUUUGAAAUUGGGUACUGUAUUUGAGAUUUUCAUUUUUUUAGCUUCUUAUGUGAACCUCACUCAUUAUUUUGGAAUUAUUUGGAGACUAGCAGCAUUUGUUGUGCAAAGAGUUUCAUGGCAAGUAUUUUAGAUUUGUGUGAAAGGAAGUUUAAGGCCACCGUAGUUCAGUCGAGUACCAUUCAUGCAAUGUGAGCUAAUGUAUGAGUUUUUUGCCAUAUUUUGAAUCAUAGUUCAUCAGAACUUGUAUAAACUUGGAUGAUUUUGCAUUGUUAAUUAUGGUCAUGCGAGUAAAAAUAGUUUUUCUGUGAAAUCCCUUAUUAUCAUGCCCCACCCCACUGGAAGGACAAGGCUCACGCGAGGCUAAUCUUUUAUUGUGAGUUAAGGUUAGGACAAUAUUCUUUAUGGUGGAUUAUCAAUAAAAAAUCAGAUUAGUCUGGCCAUUGGCUAAUAUUUUCACAAUGAAAUAAAUUUCAAAAAACGCUAGAUUGUCGCACUAAUCUCCUGAAAGGUGAGUCAAAUAUGCUUUCAUAAAUCAAUGUAGUGGUCCACUAAUGUCUUACUAUCUGAAUUUAAUUUCUAAUAAGCCUUGGACCGUCACUGAGAAUCCCAAACUUUAGAAAUAUAAAGAACUUUCGAACAUCCGUAGCUUGCUUCAGGCGUAUUUUAUAAUAAAUCAUCGUGACUAUGGGUGCG
rnacentral:lncRNA from 1 species